GCAUAUCAAUAAGCGGAGGAAAAGAAACCAACAGGGAUUGCCUCAGUAACGGCGAGUGAAGCGGCAACAGCUCAAAUUUGAAAUCUGGCCUCUUUUGGGGUCCGAGUUGUAAUUUGUAGAGGAUGUUUCGGGUACCGCCUCGGCCUAAAUUUCUUGGAACAGAAUGUCAAAGAGGGUGAGAAUCCCGUCUUGGACCGGCGGUAGGGCCCAUGUGAAACUCCUUCGACGAGUCGAGUUGUUUGGGAAUGCAGCUCAAAAUGGGUGGUAAAUUUCAUCUAAAGCUAAAUAUUGGCCAGAGACCGAUAGCGCACAAGUAGAGUGAUCGAAAGAUGAAAAGAACUUUGAAAAGAGAGUUAAACAGUAUGUGAAAUUGUUGAAAGGGAAGCGCUUGCAACCAGACUUGAGCGCGGCGGUUCCCCCUUCCUUUUGGUUGGGUUACUCCGUCGUGUCCAGGCCAACAUCGGUUCUGGGGGUCGGUUAAAGGCUCGGGGAAUGUAUCUACUCCUUCGGGGGUAGACUUAUAGCCCCGGGCGUCAUACGACCUCCCGGGACCGAGGAACGCGCUUCGGCUCGGAUGUUGGCGUAAUGGUUGUCAGCGACCCGUCUUGAAACACGGACC
rnacentral:rRNA from 1 species